GGUGGGUGUUUAGGGAUUAAAAACAGGAAGCAUGUUCAACGUGUAGCAAGGUUUUUUCGUACCAAGCAAGAAGUUUAGCGAAGCCGCAUUAUGGAUGAGAUAGCAAAAACAAAGUAGAUAAAAAUAACCUGGAGUUGGAGAAUUCAAGUUCGUAAUUUCGCAUCAUACAUGCGUGUCACGUUGGCUUGUGAUCACCAAGUUAUUGAUGGUUAACCCAGUACGAAACAAGGCACUUACAAAUAUAAGAUCUGCUGGAAAUGAUGAGAAUGUGAAGCUAUCACCACCUCGCAGAAUGACACUUGAAGAAGCUAUUGGCUAUGUGGCAUCUGAUUAGUCGAACGCUAGGCUUGCAUUUUGUUUAUUUCUCUACUUUCUUUUUGAAUCUAGAUGCUUUUGAGCUUCGUAAAGGUCAAAAAAACAUGCAAAUUUCGGGUAAAUUCUACUUCAAUCUUUUAAAUGCUUGAUUUUGGUAAAUUGAAGAUUGAUAGUUGUUAGGAUUUAUGGUAGAGUCAGAUUUGGAUAUUAGGGUUCCAUUGGAACUUUUAAUGAGU